GCCCAGAUGGCGAAAUUGGUAGACGCACCAGCUUGAGGGGCUGGCGCCGGUUACGGUGUGCAAGUUCGAAUCUUGUUCUGGGCA
rnacentral:tRNA from 1 species